CAGGAAGACGAGCGCGGCAGCAGGGGGAGAGCUUGGAGCAGCAGCAGCAGCAAAAGCGCCGCGCGCGCGGUUGGUGGAAUCCCCGCGCGCUGCCGCUGCCUGUGAGGAAAAGAGCGGCUCCCUUUUAUCCUCUCGGAGGUGACUUAGCAACAGCUGCUGCUGCAGCAGCAAGCAAGCAUCCGCGCGCCCUCCCGCCUCAGCUAGUCAGCGCCAGCGGCGGCGGCGGCGGCGGCUUGACUUCUGAGGCGCGCUUUCUCUCCUCAGUCGCCACCUCAGGACCCGCAUACCAUUGUAUGAAUACCAGGUAACCAUUGGAUUACAUGCUUAUGUUGCGACAUCAAGAUUGAUUGACCCUAGAAGAAGCUGGUGAUGUGACUCCAGUUCCAGUUUAUCAACUCAUUUCUAAGGAUAAAUCAGCACUGU